GCAAGUUGCUGGGCGUCAGGGAGAGGUGCCAUCUUAGAGGAGGGCAGCGUUAACGGCGACGACGGGGAGUUUAAUCUUCGCCUUUCAGAGAAACGAUCGAAGCGCGGUGCUGCGGGAACCGAGAGUUUGCUGUCGUCGUCACAUUCUCGGGGUUCGGUAAAGUCCCUGCGCAUGGGUGACAAAGACCCGGGUCCCCUUCCCUGUGUCCGAUGUAAGGCCAGCGGCUUCCUUGCGUAUAAUUAUGGAAUUCUUUUUCGUCAGGGACGCUUUCCUCCCUAGGCCCCGGAGUCUGGGCCUCGGCCUAUGUUUAUUUCCGGCUUUUCCUGAGCUCUGCUUUACGUUCUCGCCUUAACUUUCCGUUUAACGCCCAGUUCCUAAUUUCUGCAAACGGUCUUUUGAUGUUUUAUUGAUUUAUUAAUUUAUUUAGAAUCUCUUCUCCCGCUCCCCAGCCCAGCCCGCCUGGAAACCCCCCCCCCCCCCCUUUUUUUACAUUUUUUAGGUAAGCGGUACAGCAUUACCACUGUAUUCCUAGGCCAGCCCCUUUUAAUCUUUCUUUGGUUAAAUAAUUGUUUUUAACCCCAUUCCUUAGUCCUUUAAGGGUUUGGAGGGAAAAACAACAACUAGCAAACAUUGUGAAUUUUGGGGUUUGAAAAUUCCUCACCUGAUUAUUUAUAGGCAGUGCUUGUUUGAUAAUCAUAUUUUUUAAAAAAUAGAAUAGUGCUUAUUGUAAUAGAGACAUUGGAGAUUUGCUAGAAUAGCAAGGUUAAUAUUAGGAUAAUUAUACUUCCACAAGAUGUCAUUUCACUAGUGAUGUCCUUUGAUAUCAAGAUGUUUUGCAUCUAGGAAGUAAUUAAUAUACCUACUAGUUUUUUUAAAAAAUAAUUUUUCUAGGAUACAGUAAUUAUAGUGGAUUAGAAAAUGCAGUUCUCUCUAGAAUGCAGUUUGGCACAGAGAGACCCAAAACAGUUUAUUAAUCUAAUAGAAAGUAGUAAUUUAUUAGCAUUUGCUGUAGAUUAAUAGAUUUAUUUCCUGUAUUUUUUUUUUUAAAUCCUUGCAACCCACCCACCCACAUAUGCAUAAGCAGAGUAGUACACUUUAUCUGACUUUCUUCCUCAAUGUGAGUUUGGUGCCUGGUAGCUACAGGAACAGAUCCAUGCAGGGUUUUUUGACAACUGUGUGAAAGUAUUUUAUCAUUGCCUUCUGUAGCAGUGUAAGUGCAGCAAACUGGAGACUGCAGAGCUGUUAUAAAAGAAAGCUGGGCCAUAUCUGGAAGAACUUUCUUUUAUAAGAAGUAAUAUGGUAAAACCAUAUUGCUGGAAUUGCUUGUUUCUUAAAUGAAGUUUUCCAUGCUUGAUAUUUAGUUAGCAAGUGCACAGUGGCAUUAGAUUAGCUACAAAGGUAUAUAAAAAGAAAAUGCUGGCUAUCACUAGAUAGCCUCUGUCUAAACAAAAAAGCUGUGACAAAACAAGCAAAAUGAGUAGUCCUGAACAUGAUGACCUAUUUUGCCUGUUUUCCUGGCAUAUAGAACACACCACCAACAGGAAUUGCAUUCUAGAAGGGCAGUGUGCUGUAACAUAUAAGGCAGAUUCUAUAGAAUUUUAAAAGCUAUCUAAUAUGUAAUAUCAAGCACUUUUGUGAGCCAGAGUGGACUUUACUUAAUAUUUGUAUUGGUAGUGAUUAAAAAAGCCUGUAAUGUAGUUACAGGGCAAAGAAAAUUCAUUUUAUUCUGAAUUUACAUUUUAUUUUCUAUGUUAUUUCAUCAAUUGAAAGCUUAGUGUGAAAAUAUGCCUAUUUUAUAGGCUGUCUCUUAUAGAAUAAAAAGGUAGAGUACAAAAGGAAUUUAUAAGUGAUUAGUGCUAUCCUUGCAUAUGUGCCUUGUUCAGCCCUUUGAGAUGGUUAGAUAUUUCUGAUCAGUCUAUUGCUCUUCCCUCCAAGACCUGCAAAAAGGCUUUCAUAGCAAACAUACAUUAAAGGUAGUGUUUCAUAUAUGCAAACAUUAUUGUAAUCAAAUCUCCCCCAUCAAAACGCUGUUAAGAUUUGCUGCCCUUGGCAAGUGUAGUAGUUGAGGAAAGACUUAAUUAGUUGCAACAAUUAUCAAAGCAUAAAAACAGUUUUAGACAACUUACAUUGAUAAAUACUGUCCUAUAUAUUGGUAGGGAUAACUGAGAAAUUGGAUACCAGUACUUUCAAGACAAAUCUCUCCACUCAAGACAUAAGGUCAGAUCAUAUUUUCACAGUUUUGAUUAAAUUUUACUUAGAGCUUUGGCAGUUAUGUAAAUUAGUGCUGUGAAAUGGCAAGUUAAUUAGCAAAAUGAUAGCUCUAAUUUUGGCUGUUUUGAACAGUUUAAAAUGUAGCUGAAAAUAUUCCCUAUAGAGUAUUUACAGUUAGGCACAAAGGAUCAGGACUAUAUGUCAAGUCUAUAGGCUCAAGCCUAUAUACAAGAAUCUAAUUAACUAAAGUUCGGUAUUAAAUUGACAUCAGAUAAUGGUCAAUGGAAUUCAAGAGGGAUUGGACUUUGCCCGUUAGUGGCAAUGUCUUUAAGCUGAUGACAUGCUUAAUUCUACUCCUCAGCUCUGCUUUCUCUUCGAUAUUUACAGCUUAAAAGAAUUGUGUAAACAUACGGUAGAAACAUCCUGUGUCAUCUGGACAUGCGAAUUGUUGAUAUUUCAUAGUCAAGUGGAGCAACUUGAAAUGAGCAGAAAAAUUAGAAUCUGGGAGCUUCUGCCUUUAGAUUAUUCACUUUAUAUUGCUAGAAAUAGCAGUUCCCCUCCAGAAUGUUAGUGGCCCUCUUUAGGAUUUUGUACCAACUAAAAAUUACUCAGCUAAAAAUGCAAUUUAAAUACAGAAAUUGACUUCCCUGCUGUCAGAGAUACAAAUUUAUUUUUGCAGUAAAAGAUGGAGAAAAAAUUGUUUUCACAUUCUUUAAAACAGUUGGGAUUUUAAUGCAGCAGUGGAACAGUUCAAUAGUUCUGGCUUAAUCCACAGGGUAACAGGUCAUUUGUUACCCAAAUUGGAAAGAUGGUAUAUUCUUAAAUUACUUGCAACAAAUGGUAUGCAAAAUGGCUUAGGAUAUGUACUAAAUGGACAGGUACCAUAAUACUUUUCCCCAAAUUAUUCAGUGUAUAUGAAAAUGAAAUGCUCCUAACAACAUUAUUUUAAUUUUGCUUGUUAUGAUACAUGUGCACCUAAACUUUGUGCACCUAAAGGACAACUUUUUCUACCAUUUAAAGACAGUUAAAUCUAUUGUUUUUAAAAUAUACAUAUUUUGUUUAAAAUUGAAUGAUUAUGGAAAUAAUAAUAUGUAUUUGACAGAACCUUUUUCCUUCAUUCAGAUUUUUCCAUCUGGAGUACUAGUAUCAUUUUGUGCCAGCAAGACAAGUUUAUGCAUAAAAAAAGAAAUGCAAAUAAAAAGCAAUUUUACAGAUGCUGUUUCUUAAAUUCCUAUUGUUGAAUUUCAACACAGACAAUAUAUUUUUUUAAAAAAACAUCUCUCUACUCUUUUAGAGUUUGGGAAAUAUCAUACUAUGAAUAUCCAAAGGCAAAUUAUUUUGUCUGGAGUAAAACUUUCCAACUUACUAUUCUACAUUCGUUAAAAUUACAUAUGCAAAAUUAUAUUUGGAAAGAAUAAAUUCUGAUUUACACACCUUAUUUGCUGUGUGACUGUAAAAACAUUGUUAGGAUGUUAGCUCAGUGACAUCCUUUCAAGCAGCACCUUUUUUUUCAGGGAAAUGUUGCACUGACAACAAGAGAACAAAAUUAAAAUUAUUUAAAAAAAUGAAUAGGUUGGACAUAAAAUGCUUUAUUUUCUUAACGUUAUUCUGCCAAAUAUAUUGCUUUGCAGUUGCAAAUAAUACUAUACAAAAGAUUUAUCCAUUUAAUCUAAAAAAUAAUUUUCACAAUGCACAUGUAUGUGUAAGGUUUGACAUGCAGUAUGAAUAUAUCUAUGUUUGUACUGUAUGAUAAACUAUUCAUCUAAAAAUUUAAUUACAUGGAAGAUUGAUUUGUUGAAAUGCAGAUUAUUAAUACUGCUCUUGCUUAUACAUUUUUACAUGUAUAAACACAUAAUAUGCAACUUUAUGUGUGUAUAUACAUGUCUGACUUUAUAGCUACUUUAUUUUUACUAUGCAGUUAAUAAAGAUCGGGGAAGAUUUUUUUCUUUUUUUCAAUAGGUGAAGAGAUCUUGAAGACCAGAAAUUGAAACAUUGUGUUUUAAUUUAAAAAAAAAAUAAUCCUGGCUGUGGAAGACGGAUCUUCUUUGCAGCUGGUUUGAAACAGAAGUUCCUCUUUAAAUGAACUAUUUAUUUUGAAGAGGCAAUUAACCACUGUUUCCAGCUUCCCUGGCUAUUCAAAUGGACUUACUCCAAUAGUUUUAAUUCACCCUUUAUCUGAAUUUUGAAUUUGUGUCCUUGGCAAUGUGAGGAAGAAAAGUCUUUAUAUCCCGUUACUAUUUUAUGGAUUGAGUGUUGAUUCGACCUACAGGAGAAAAAUAACUGGAAGUAUUUGAAGAUAGUAUUUGCUGGUCAUACCAAGGAUUAUAUUUUAAAGAAGAUAUUGCUAAAUCUGGUAUAGAAGAUUGUGCCAUUUUAAACAUCGUUGUGAUUAACCAUCACUGAAAAAUAACAAAAUUGUAUUCAGCCAUUUGUUUCUACACCUUAAGCUUGAAGGAAAUUAAUUUGAAUAUGUCUAACAAAGGAGAUGAUUGUUAUUUCUAUUUCUACUCUACUUGUACAAAGGGGGAUAAUUGCCCUUUUCGUCACUGUGAAGCUGCCCUUGGAAAUGAAACUGUGUGUGUGCUCUGGCAGGAAGGUCGAUGCUUCAGGAGUAUUUGCCGCUUUAGACACAUGGAGAUUGAUAAAAAGCGCAGCGAAAUACCAUGCUAUUGGGAGAAUCAGCCAUUGGGCUGUCAGAAAUUGAACUGUGCUUUUCACCACAACAAGGGACGUUUUGUGGAUGGGCUUUUCUUACCUCCAAGCAAGACUGUUCUUCUAAACGUGCCUGAGUCUCCAGAAGAGGAGAUGAAGACUGCACAACAAAGCAAGCUUUCUGUUCAGUCCAACCCAUCACCUCAGUUGCGUGGAGUGAUGAAGGUGGAAAAUUCUGAAAAUGUUCCCAGUCCCACACAUCCACCGGUUGUUAUUAAUGCAGCAGAUGAUGAUGAAGAUGAUGAUGAUCAAUUAUCUGAAGAAGGUGAUGAAUCUAAAAUGCCUGCUCAACAACCACCUACAGAAAGUCCAAAUGGAUUGAGGGUAAUUUCUACUCGGAAAUCAGUGACUAGUGCAAAUCAAGAUAAAGAUAAAAGUUUUAAUUUUGGGAUCAAAACUCUUGAAGAAAUAAAAUCAAAGAAAAUGAAAGAAAAAUCAAAGCAGCAAAAUGAUAUUCCUUCUGAAAUGAUUGCUCAACCAGGCCCAGAGAAAGAAAAUGCACGGACUGUGGUCAGAACUGUAACUUUAUCUACGAGGCAAGGUGAAGAGCCUCGGAUUCGAUUAACACUUGCAGAGAGAUUGGGGAAAAGGAAGUCUCCCAUGGGCACCGAGACUGGAAUUCCAUUAAAACGUAGCCUUGCUGAUAGACUAGGGAAAAAAAUGGAUUCACUUGAAAGUACAGAAAAAACACCAAAAAGAGUUCAAGCUCCCAGAGCUCUUAAAGAAAGACUGGGAUUAGCAUCUGACCAAAGCAAUAUGGAAACAGAGUCUUUUGCCAAACCAACUGGUGAAAUCUAUAUUAAAACACUGGAAGAAAUUCGCUUGGAGAAAGCUGGCCAAAAAAUGGGAGAAAUGCACCCCAAACCCAACGUUGAAGUGGCUUGUAUAACAAAUCCCAAUCCAGUGUCAAAACCUCCUACAGUACGGAUCAAAACUUUUUCCGAAGUCUUGGCUGAGAAAAAACAAAGGCAAAUGGAAGAGGAGCGAAUAAAAACAGAAACAGAGACUGUUUCCAAACCAAAGCAUGAGUGUGAACCUCGGAAAGAAGGGCUUCUGAGUACAGCUGUACCUAAAAGAAGAAAAUUGGAAGAGUCUUCUGUCAAAACCAAGGACUUUAGGGAAGUUCAUAUCAAAACUCUGGAGGAAAUCAAGCAGGAGAAAGCUCUCCGCAUGCAGCAAGGUUUGGAGAGCACAUCAAAGACACAGAUACAGUCUGAACGAACUAUAACUGGGAGAAGAAUGUUGCAUGUUACAAAGCUGACAGCUCCUGAAAAGGAAGAAAAAACUCUGGUAUUGAGGUCUUCUCCAAGAAUUUCUAUAGGAAAGAUUGCUACAAAGCCUUUGAAUGAUAGUGUGAGUAAUUCACAUUCUAAAGUCUAUGUGAAGAGCUUAGAAGAAAUAAGGAAGGAGAAGCAACGGUUAAAGCAGCAGCAACAAGAGGAAAAGUCCCAGGAACUACAAGUGACUGUGCCACUUGUUGGGGAAGAAAUAGCAGAAGGAAAAAUGCCAGAAGUGACUACAAAUUCUGAAUCCUCAGUGACUAUGGGGAAAACGCGUCCACUUUCCAAAAGAUUGUUGAUGAGAUCUCAGGAGGGAACAUCAGAAGACCUGAGACUUUGCCCUCAGGUUGCAGAACCAAGAACGAAGGUCAAGCCCAAGAUGAAUGUGAAACCAUCUGGAGUGAAACCCAUUUCCCCAGCAAAACAGACACUGAAGCGAAAAACAUCAGAGACUCAUCCCUCUGUGGCUGCAGUGAAGCCCCUGAGUCCUAUUGCAAGCACAGAAAUGAAAAAGUUUGCUUCUGAAAACACAGCUCUGGGAAGCACACCAGAUCUUUCAAAGGACAAUAUAACUACUAUGCCUAAGAGAGUGGAUUAUAACAGCUCUGAACUGUAUAUUGAAAACCAGGUAACCUCCACAUUGCAAGCAGAGGUAGCAAACCCAAGUUCCUCCCGUGCAGCAGUAGCAAAGACCCGCAGACUGAGCUCAACAGGACCUGGGAAGAUUCAGUCUUCAGUUGAAGAUGACUUUGAUAAGCUGAUUUGGGAAAUCUCAGGAGGCAAAUUGGAAGCAGAGAUUGAUUUAGAUCCAGGAAAAGAUGAGGAUGAGCUCCUGCUUGAACUCUCUGAGAUGAUUGACAGUUGAUUUGCUACACAGCUUCAUUUCGAGAGAAAAUAAAAACUACAUGUUUUGUUGGAUUACCCUUUCUCCUAGAAGAGUUAUGACAAGUCUUAAAGCACACUUGAAACUGCUUGAAGAACUUGGCUGCAUUACUUUGUUUUGAAUUACCCUGCUGGUCAGAGAUAUGCCCCAACUAUUGCUCAUUUUAAAUAUUUUCAGAAUGAAACCAUGAACAUUUCAUCUAGAGAAGAUCCAAGACCUACUCAUAAUUCUACAUAGGAACUUUUUUUCAUCAUUAUAUUUUUUACUGAAUUGUCAUGCCUAUUUUUCAGCUGUGUGGCUCAUAAUUUAUCUGUAUUUCAGAGCUUCCUUUUGCUUUUGGGGGUUAUUUCGCAGUUUGGAGUCACUUCUUGGGUUAUGUAAAUUUUAAAAAAUCCUAAAAAUGGCAGAACUAUUUAUAAUGCAGAGGAAAGGAACAUAAACUUGGACCAAGCCUACUACAUGUGCAACUUCUAUCCUUAUACUGUUGAAAAUGAAGCAACAUUUAUAUAGAAGAUGGAAUAGCACAUUUUAUUCUCAUCCCAUUCAUCUUGUGCCAUUUUGACUGAUUUCAUCUAGUAUAUAGAAAUUCAUGGGGAAAAGAUAAUUUAAAACUUGCCCUGAAUGGAGAGUAUGAUGGCCUGUACUGCUGGCGCUGCAUGGGUCGUUUUAAGACAACCUUGGGACUGUUGCCCUCUGACAUCUUAAAACAGCUUGAGACAUCUCUGCUGAGCUUCUGGUUCUUUAGUUGCUCACUU